rnacentral:tRNA from 1 species
GCGGGUAUGGUGAAAUUGGUAAACACAGGGGAUUUAAGUUCCCCCGCUGAGGCUUGACGGUUCGAGUCCGUCUACCCGCA